AAUAUAUAUAUGCUUCAAUUGGCUUUGCUUUAUUAGAUAUUUGAUACAACCAGUUCAAUUUAUGCCAACCAAAAUCCAAAGUAGUUAUUGUUGGCUAGCUUAGAAUUAAACUUCUUGCUUUCUUUAUUGAAUAACUCUCUCUCUCUCUAUAUAUAUAUAUAGUCACAUAUUUCGAUAAAAAAACAAGUUAUGGACGUACAAUAUAUAUAUAUAUAUAUAUAUUUUUGGGUGAAUACGUAGUUAUGUUUAUAUGGGCAAAAAGAGCUGAAUCUGCCUAAAAAAAAGAACCUCUUCUUAGAUUUGUAUAUCAUCUAAUCAGAGAAGACAUGGACAUAUAUACCAUAUAUAUAUGGGCCAAAGCUAAAAUAUAGAAAUAAGAUGGAAAAAAAAAAAGUAAAAAAAGCUUUUUCCUCUUCAUGGUGGUAGCCAUGUAGGAAUUCAUAAGAGAUAUGUAGAUGAGCUAGUCUUAAAAAAGAGUGGGUACAUGUGGAUCUCACUCUAUAUUCUACUUUGCUUUGAGUUGAUUAGCUACUGCUUUUUUGUGCCUUACCCAUGCCAUACCCACCCUUCUUUUUUUUCUCCCCAGAACAACGUCCCUUGGUUUUCUUUUAGAUUAUAAUAUAUAAUAUAUGUAUGUAUAUACAUGUCGUCAUCAUGAAUUAUGAUCUUCUUGAUCAUAGCAUGAGUUAUGAAUCUCCGCCCUUGGACUUGACCCUUCACAACUAAAGAAGACAUCAAAAUUGUUGUCCUUUAAGUGAAGAGUGGGUCCUAUUUAAUCUUAUUGCCUAAGCCAUGAUGUCACACUAGAUUUUACUAACACUUAUCCGAUGAUGAUAUGGAAAGCGAAUAAACCCUCCCUGUAUCAUCCUCUCCAUCACCAUGCGAAUGAUGCUGGUUUUUGCUCCCUCUCUUGUGGGUCCCCAUCAGCUUCUUCAUUUUCAGCGUGGUUCCGAUCUGUUGCAACAUUUACACUGACCCAAAAGCUAUAAUCCUAUAGGAAUUGGGAAAGAGGAAAGCUGGACCAUCGUCCUUGAAGUCAACCUCUUCAAUGAAGCUAUCUAAGCAAUUGGAUCUUUUAGUUUUAUCAUGAUUGGGAACCUUGAAAUCUUUGAUGCUUCAUCCAUCAUACAUUGAACCAAUUUCUUAGCAAUCCACCAACAUUUUCUUCGCAAAGUUUGAAAAAAAAUAAAAAGAAUGAUAAAUAAUAAUACCCAAUAGGACAUUAUUUUAGCAUUUGUUCAUAUAUUUGCUUUUCUACCAGUACUUGAUUCUAAUGUUCUUUUGAGCCGGUUAUGAUUUAGUUUUUGACUGAUUACAUGCCUCCAGGCACCCUUUGCGUUCCGAUAAACUCGAAUCCAGCGUAGAAAGCGUAGAUGAGGUUGUUCUUACCAAUUGAACUACCAUAUUUGUCUAGUUACGAUUCAAUUUUAACCGCUAAUAGAUACCGGGGCUUUGAAUAUUUGAUAAACAAAUAUGCUUAGUCUAUUUAGUAUAACAUUAUAUUUCAACAUUGUAUUCCAUAUUUCACUUCUUCUAACACCAAACUUUUCCGAAAUAUUAAUAAAAACUACUAUUCUUUUCAGCGAACAUUCAUGGUUAAAAAUAUUGUAGAUGCUUUCUCUUCUUCUACUACAAGUUUGCCCUGGGCUUUAUUCACUUUAAUUGAAGACAUACAUGUCUAUUUGCCUCAAAUCUAUGUCUAUGUGCCUCAAUUAGAUUUUUGGAAGGUAAUUUAUGUCCAAAUGGGACAGCUAAUUGGAUUGCUAAAGCGGUUCCAAGCAAAGAUUUUAUUCGAUGGGAUAAUAUUUUACCAAUGUCUCUUCAUAAUAUUUUGUUAGUUGGCUCUCCUAGUUAAGUGAACUUUGGCUUCUUUUAAUGAAAGUUUUUUAUUUUAUGACCCAAAAAAAGUAAAAUUCAAAUCUUUCCAUUUUUAAUAAUAAGAAACCAAAAAAGAUUAGCCAUACACGUGUCUUUUGAUAUAUAUGCAAUUGGGAAUUGGAUCAGACGAAAAUUCUAUGGUGAAGAUGGUUCGCAUGAGGACUGCAGUAUUAGUGACAGUUUUUCAUAGUAUUAACGACGGUUUCUUAGAAAAUCGUCAUCAAUACUAUAAAAAAUUAUCACCAAUACUAUGAUCCGCAUGAGAACCAUCCGCACCAUAAACAAAUUGUUGGAUUAGACGGGACAAUGGGACAGUUUGGCACUAAUCCACGGUGCGUACGAUGGAUUCAUUCAUGAACCAAGAUUAGUGGACGCCUUGUACUACAACAAUUCAGGCUUUUAAGAAGGUCUUCGGCCCUGUCUGCUAGUGUCCCAAGUGUUGUACGAGUCCAAGGUAGUGCACUGGACGCAUCUUUUGAAUAUUUGUGCUUCUGAUUGUUUGUCACAUAAAAUUCCUAUUCUUUUUUUUUUUUUUUUCUUCUUCUUCUUUUCUAUUUAUACUGCGGAAACGAUAAAAUUUCUUUCCAUACAAUAAAUGUCAUGAAAAAUUGGUGGAAUAAGAGACAGAAAUUAAAGGGGUUGCAGCUUUUAUCAUAAAGUCAUAAGGAAACCCAUUUUUUUGAGCCCAUUUUAUUUAUUUAUUUAUUUUUAUAGAAAGGACAUCUACAAGCUGUGUUAGGUUGCGGCAUGCCUCUUCAUAAGUUUCAUAUUGGGUGGGUUACAAUUAAUGUAUGUGGUACUCAUGAUGGUGGUGAGGUAUCUUCUUCAAUCAUAAUUUCAUCUUGGGCGUUGAAGUUUUGGGUCAUCUCUGAAGUCAGUUGUACAUGCUCUUGAUUGUAUUUGGAAAUCUGGAACCUCGUUAGCGCUAGAGAAAUAUUUAUGGAAAGAGUGGGUGUAUUUAGUUGUUUAUUUUUUUGAAAUCAACACGUGAAACCAAAUUGAGCUUAAAGAUUUUUCUAGCAAAGUUUUGGGCCCAAUUAUGGUUUUUACAAAGACUGUGAAAUUGAGGUGAGCCUUUUUCUUAAGCCCGCUCUACUGCUUAAUGGACAAUAGACCCAUUUGCCAA